GGUGGAGACAUUAUGGGAAUCAACCAGAGCCCCUAGGGCUGGCAGAUACCUGCCUGAGGCUGCCAUGGACCCCUGGCUCCUUUGUUAUGUUAUCCUCUGUUUUCUGGGAGCAGGCCCCAUGGAAGCCCAAGUGACACAGACCCCAAGAUACCUCAUCACAAAGACUGGAAAAACAUUGACAAUGACUUGUUCUCAGAAUAUGGACCAUGAAUCUAUGUACUGGUAUCGACAAGACCCAGGACUGGGUCUGAAGUUGAUCUACUAUUCAAUUAAUGUUGAAAUUAUUGACAAAGGAGAUAUCCCUGAUGGCUAUACUGUCUCUCGAAAAGAGAAGAAGAAUUUCCCCCUGUCUUUGAAGUCACCCAGCACCAACCAGACCUCCCUGUACCUCUGUGCCAGCAGUGUAUCCACAGUGCUGCACAGCCAGCUGCUCUCUGCACAAAAAGGAAUAGCCCAGGAACAACCAGACUCCUUCUCAGAAGGCCCUCCUGACCAAGAGGAAAAGCUUCCUGACCACCAGUGUCCUCCCUGGACUGUCCAGUUUCAGAACUCUGAGUGA